GGCCAAUCAAACCGGGAGAUAGCUGGUUCUCCCCGAAAGCUAUUUAGGUAGCGCCUCGUGAACUCAUCUCCGGGGGUAGAGCACUGUUUCGGCUAGGGGGCCAUCCCGGCUUACCAACCCGAUGCAAACUGCGAAUACCGGAGAAUGUUAUCACGGGAGACACACGGCGGGUGCUAACGUCCGUCGUGAAGAGGGAAACAACCCAGACCGCCAGCUAAGGUCCCAAAGUCAUGGUUAAGUGGGAAACGAUGUGGGAAGGCCCAGACAGCCAGGAUGUUGGCUUAGAAGCAGCCAUCAUUUAAAGAAAGCGUAAUAGCUCACUGGUCGAGUCGGCCUGCGCGGAAGAUGUAACGGGGCUAAACCAUGCACCGAAGCUGCGGCAGCGACGCUUAUGCGUUCGUUGGGUAGGGGAGCGUUCUGUAAGCCUGUGAAGGUGGCCUGUGAGGGUUGCUGGAGGUAUCAGAAGUGC
rnacentral:rRNA from 1 species